GAGUAAAGAUGCUCGUUACGCGCGGCAGGACGGAAAGACCCCGGGACCUUUACUAUAGCUUGGUAUUGGUGGUCGAUUCGGUUUGUGUAGGAUAGGUGGGAGACUGUGAAGCUCGGACGCCAGUCCGGGUGGAGUCGCACUUGAAAUACCACUCUGAUCGUAUUGGCUGUCUAACCUUGGUCCGUGAUCCGGAUUAGGGACAGUGCCUGGUGGGUAGUUUAACUGGGGCGGUUGCCUCCUAAAAAGUAACGGAGGCGCUCAAAGGUUCCCUCAGCCUGGUUGGCAAUCAGGUGUCGAGUGCAAGUGCACAAGGGAGCUUGACUGUGAGACUGACAAGUCGAGCAGGGACGAAAGUCGGGACUAGUGAUCCGGCGUCGGCAUGUGGAAGCGGCGUCGCUCAACGGAUAAAAGGUACCCCGGGGAUAACAGGCUGAUCUUGCCCAAGAGUCCAUAUCGACGGCAUGGUUUGGCACCUCGAUGUCGGCUCGUCGCAUCCUGGGGCUGGAGUAGGUCCCAAGGGUUGGGCUGUUCGCCCAUUAAAGCGGCACGCGAGCUGGGUUUAGAACGUCGUGAGACAGUUCGGUCCCUAUCCGCCACGCGCGCAGGAGUCUUGAGGAGACCUGUCCCUAGUACGAGAGGACCGGGAUGGACGAACCUCUGGUGUGCCAGUUGUCCUGCCAAGGGCACGGCUGGUUGGCUACGUUCGGAAGGGAUAACCGCUGAAAGCAUCUAAGCGGGAAGCUCGCUCCAAGAUAAGGACUCCCACAGGGUUAACCUGGUAAGGCCCCCAGCGAGAACACUGGGUUGAUAGGCCGGAAGUGGAAGCGCAGCAAUGCGUGCAGCUGACCGGUACUAAUAGGCCGAGGACUUGACCCC
rnacentral:rRNA from 1 species